GAUGAACGCUGGCGGCGUGCCUAAUACAUGCAAGUCGAGCGAACAGACGAGGAGCUUGCUCCUCUGACGUUAGCGGCGGACGGGUGAGUAACACAUGGGUAACCUACCUAUAAGACUGGGAUAACUUCGGGAAACCGGAGCUAAUACCGGAUAAUAUAUUGAACCGCAUGGUUCAAUAGUGAAAGACGGUUUUGCUGUCACUUAUAGAUGGAUCCGCGCCGCAUUAGCUAGUUGGUAAGGUAACGGCCUACCAAGGCAACGAUGCGUAGCCGACCUGAGAGGGUGAUCGGCCACACUGGAACUGAGACACGGUCCAGACUCCUACGGGAGGCAGCAGUAGGGAAUCUUCCGCAAUGGGCGAAAGCCUGACGGAGCAACGCCGCGUGAGUGAUGAAGGUCUUCGGAUCGUAAAACUCUGUUAUUAGGGAAGAACAAAUGUGUAAGUAACUGUGCACGUCUUGACGGUACCUAAUCAGAAAGCCACGGCUAACUACGUG
rnacentral:rRNA from 1 species